rnacentral:rRNA from 1 species
UAACGCGUGAGGAACCUGCCUUUCAGAGGGGGACAACAGUUGGAAACGACUGCUAAUACCGCAUGAUACAUUUGGGUGGCAUCAUCUGAAUGUCAAAGAUUUAUCGCUGAAAGAUGGCCUCGCGUCUGAUUAGCUGGUUGGUGAGGUAACGGCCCACCAAGGCGACGAUCAGUAGCCGGACUGAGAGGUUGACCGGCCACAUUGGGACUGAGACACGGCCCAA